rnacentral:rRNA from 1 species
UAGGGAAUCUUCCGCAAUGGACGCAAGUCUGACGGAGCAACGCCGCGUGAGUGAAGAAGGAUUUCGGUUCGUAAAACUCUGUUGUUAAGGAAGAACGAGUGUGAGAAUGGAAAGUUCAUGCUGUGACGGUACCUACAUAAGAAGCCCCGGCUAAAUACGUGCCAGCAGCCGCGGUAAUACGUAUGGGGCAAGCGUUAUCCGGAUUUACUGGGUGUAAAGGGAGCGUAGGCGGCAGUACAAGUCGGGAGUGAAAACUCGGGGCUCAACCCCGAGACUGCUCUCGAAACUGUACAGCUAGAGUGCAGGAAGGGCAGGCGGAAUUCCUGGUGUAGCGGUGAAAUGCGUAGAUAUCAGGAGGAACACCGGUGGCGAAGGCGGCCUGCUGGACUGUAACUGACGCUGAGGCUCGAAAGCGUGGGGAGCGAACAGG